rnacentral:lncRNA from 1 species
AAACUCCCCAAAACCACUCCAAAACCACCCCAAAAACAUCCCCAAAAACAUCCCCAAAACCAGCCCAAAACCAGCACAAAAACAGCCCAAAAACAUCCCCAAAACCAGCCCAAAACCAGCACAAAAACAGCCCAAAAGCAUCCCAAAAACACCCCCAAAAACACCCCAAAAACACCCCCAAAAUCACCCCAAAAACAUCCCCACAAACAUCCCCAAAACCACCACAAAAACAGCCCAAAAACACCCCAAAAACACCCAAAAACCCCCCCAAAAACAGCCCAAAACCACCCCAAAAAAACCCCAAAAACAUCCCCAAAAUCACGCCCAAAACCAGCCCAAAAUCACCCCAAAAACAUCCCCAAAAACAUCCCCAAAACCACCACAAAACCAGCCCAAAACCACCCCCAAAAAACAGCCCAAAAACACCCCCAAAAACAGCCCAAAACCACCCCAAAACCAGACCAAAAACAUCCCCAAACCACCCCAAAACCCCCCAGGAACACCCCAAAAACAGCCAAAAAACCACCCCAUAAACAUCCCCCAAACCACCCCAAAACCAGCCUAAAAACAGCCCAAAAACAUCCCCAAAACCGCCCCAAAAACACCACAAAACCAACCCCAAAAACAUCCCCAAAACCAGCCCAAAACCAGCCCCAAAAACACCCUAAAACCACCCCAAAAACAUCCCCAAAACCAUCUCCAAAACCACCCCCAAACCAGCCCAAAACCACCCCAAAAACACCCCAAAAACAUCCCCAAAACCAGCCCAAAACCCCCCGAAAUCCCCCAAAAACCCCCAAAACCCCCCCAAAACCGCCCCUCCCCCCUCACCAUCCAGGGGCAGCGGCUCCUUCAGGGACCCCCCCCCAUUUUCGGAGGGGUCCCGGUAACUGUGGGGGGAGGGGCGAGGGUCAGCGGGGAGACCCCAAAAUCCCCCCAAAAAUCCCCCCAAAAUCCCUCCCCAAAAUCCCCCCAAAAAUCCCCCAAAAAUCGUCCCCAAAAUCCUCCCAAAAUCCUCCCCAAAUCCCCCCAAAAUCCCCCCAAAAUCCUCCCCAAAUCCCCCCAAAAAUCCCUCCAAAAUCCUCCCAAAAUCGCCCCAAAAUCCCCCCAAAAAUCCCCCAAAAUCCUCCCCAAAAUCCCCCCCAAAAUCUUCCCAAAAUUCUCCCCAAAACCCUCCCCAAAAUCCCCCCAAAUCCCCCCAAAUCCCCCCCCAAAUCCCCCCAAAUCCCCCCCAAAAUCCUCCCAAAAUCCCCCCAAAAUCCUCCCAAAAUCCUCCCCAAAAUCCCCCCAAAAAUCCCCCAAAUUCCCGCCAAAAUCCUCCCCAAAUCCUCCCCAAAUCCACCCAAAAUCCCCCCAAAAUCCCCCCAAAAUCCCCCGGGGAGCUGGGGGGGCACGGGAGGGGGUUUUGGGGUGGGUUUGGGGGUCCCUGGGUGGGUUUUGGGGUAA